AAGUCGUAACAAGGUUUCCGUAGGUGAACCUGCGGAAGGAUCAUUACAUUCAGUAGCCUAGCUACUUGUUUACACCCUUGUUUUUUUGCGCACUUCACUGUAUCCCUCGGCGGGCUUGCUCGCCGGUUGGACAACAUUUAUAACCUUUUUUAAUGUUGAGUGUCAGUCAUUCAUUUGACUUGUUGCUCACACGUUUCUUAAUUGAACGUAAAAUACAACUCUUAGCAAUGGAUAUCUAGGUUCUC
rnacentral:misc_RNA from 1 species